rnacentral:lncRNA from 1 species
CGGCUCCCUCAGUCUGGCGUCAUCUAGGUCGCUGCUCAGGGAAAUGCGGAGGCCAGUAGGCUUACGUGUUUACCGCGUAGGGCAAAGCCUUGCCAAAUUCCCGGCCAGCGGAGCGGCGAGGGUGGGGACUCACGGGAAGUUAAACAGCCUCGUCGGCGUCCUCGAGGCUCCAAAACCAGGCUCUAGGCGGGGACGACUGCAGCCGUUAUGGAGGCCACCGCGGCUACGGCCGCGGCUGAGGCCUCCCCAGGUGGAGCGGUGGCCUGGAGGGGAAUCUUGAUCCUGGGCCAGCCACCUGUCAAGAGGAGGCGGAGCGUCAUGCCUCUGGAAGACUGGAUGAAUAUUCUCCAGGAGCCUGACGAAGGCGUGAGUAAUAGGGACGUGCGCCGCCUUGUUGGUGUUGAUCAGUCCACCAAGGAGAAGCAGCUGGUCGCAGUGGCCGUACCUGUAAUCCCAGCGCUUUGGGAGGCCGCGGCGGGAGGAUCGCUUGAGCCCGGGAGUUCGAGACCAGCCUGGGCAACAUAGUGAGAAACCCGUCUCUACCAAAAAGAAAAAAAAAAAAAAAGGAAAAAAAUUAGUGCGGUGUGGUGGCACGCACCUGUAGUCCCAGCUACUCGGGAGGCUGAAGCGGGAGGGUCCCCUAAGUCUAGGAGGUCGAGGCUUCAGUGAGCGGUGAUUGUGCCACUGCACUCCAGCCUGGGCGACAGAGCAAGACCCUGCUUUCCCCUCUUGUCCUCCACUACCCUCAGGAAACCAAGAAAGACCAGCGUGGAGAGUUGGUCGCCCAUCUGCUCUAAGCUGCUGUGUAUUCCCCUGUAAUGUAAACAUCGUGAAGGUGGAGACCCAGUUAACCUUUUAGGUGGAAGGCCAGAUGACAGAGGGCGGCAUCUGACCCGGAAGGCCCUCUGCAACCAGGCCAAAUACAUCUACAGGGAACCAAUGGGAAACAUCUGGGGAGGACAACCCAAAUAAGUAUCAUGCGAGCAAGGGAUGGUUUGAGAACUUUAAAAAUCGCUGCUGUUUUGCAACAUACGAAGUUGAUGGGGAGGAAGGACCCUUAAAUCCUGAGUGGGUAUCGAGUAUUCCAAGCAACUGGAGAGAGGCUUUGUGCCUCAACAGGUCUUCAACGCCAAGGAGAUGACCCAUCUUUUGCAGUGCAUGCCUUCCUACUUUUGGGGCAAAAGACAAAAAUCUGGAAAGCUUAGAGGAAGCUAAGGACAGGAUUUCCCUCAUUUUUUUGUGGCAGUGCCUCAGGUGACAAAAUGAUAAAACCACUGCUGCUUUACAAAGACUCUAACACCCCACUUGUCUUUUAGAGAUAAACGCCUUCCUGUUUUCUUGUAAUCACACCCAGAAUCACCACUGCCACUUUUUGGAUUAGUUUUACAAUUUUUUUAUCCAUCAAAUCCGAAGUCAUUUAACAAAAAAAAUCUGGAAAUCAGAAUGUUGCUAACUGUGGACAGAGGUCCCAAUCACCCAGAUUCAUUAUUCUUUGUUCAUUCUAAUGUUGAUACUGUGUUUCUCCCUCAGGAAGGCCCUAGCUUUCUUCAGCCCUUGGGUCAGGGUAUAACUGAAGCAUUUGAACAUAAUCAAGCAUAUGUUUGACCACUUUGCUGACUGUAUUGAAAAAACCCUCACCUUACUCUGAAAGAAGCAUGGCAACAGUACAAUAUUGCCGAUGCUUUGGUAGUGAUAAAAGAGGUGAUGGGUGAUAUAAAAUCAGCCACUCUUAAGCUUGCUGGAAACUGUGGGAGGAUGUGUGAAUGAUGCAUAUUUCCCUAGAGCUAAUGAAGAAGUUAAAAAAAAUCUUAGUGUCUGCAAAACAGGAAGAAGUCUUUGCAGAGGAAAUUGAAUGCUGUCUGAUGCUACAAUUCAUAUGGAUCCUUUCCUGGAUUGAAGCCUGACUUUUAAAAAAGGUUUCAAUAAAUUGCUUAUACCUAUGAAGAGAUGCAAAAGAACCUUCAAAAUAAAGCAAAGGACUUGAAGAAAGAGAAGGAAGACAUGAAGAAGAGGAUGUCAUUUAGGUGAAGGGCCAUGCUGGAUAAGGAGCUGGCUGCCUCUGUGAACAUCCUACUCAAGGCAUCUUCACUGCUGUACAUCCUUUUGAAAUCCCAGAGAUCUUCAGUCUCCCUGUGGAUUAAGGAGAUGUGCAGUAUUUAAAGUGGCUUCAGGAAGGCAUGGAAGAGGACUGAGUGGGGAAAGCUUUUUGUGCAUGCUGCUGGCUACCUCCAGCGGCUGCCUCCAGCCUCCAUCAGCUGCACUCUGGGGAAGAGGAGGCUGCCUUCUACCUCCCAGCAUCUCUGGAUUUCAUGUUCCUGUCAGCACAGAGGAGCUAAAUGGCCUGUAGAGGCUGAAGGUCUGAGGCUCCUAAAGCUGGAAGAAAAGGCUGGGCCAGUCAGGCCAAGCAAGAACACAGUGUAACUUGUCUCUGAGUGCUUCAUGGUUAAGGGGGCUAAGCAGGCACAAGGGCAUGAGGAUGGUUAUAUGUACAGACUGAGGGGAAGAAGCAGUGAAGAUGAGACUUGCCAUCUUCUUGAGUCAGUAGGCCUGCCUCAGGUGCCUAGGAUGUAAUUGCUCUGCUGCUUCUCAUGGGGAGGAGUGGCCCUCAUGACCUUGUUUACCUGGAAGAGUGUGGGAUGAAUGCCUCCUCCUAUGGGGACUCGCAAGUGCUUUAGCAAAAGGAUAAAUUGCUAAUUGUGGCAUUUCGUGGAUCAGCAGGAUUAUUUCUCCUUGCUAAAGAGGAUUUUGUUGGUCCUGAAUUCUGAGGAGGUGGGACUAGGAAUGGGCUCCAUGAGCCUGUGUAUGACUCAGGGAAUAUUAGGACUUUGGCACAGCCUCAUGGGUUGGGAGUAAGUCUUGGCUCUUCCCUAGCCUGAAUGACAGACAUCAGAUCAUUCUGGUGCUUUGUCCAUGAAGAUGUAGAUUCUGAGCCCACCCAACUAAUCUUUUCACUUGAGCACAGAAACAGCCCCGGGAAUCGGACAGACCCGUGUCUUUCAGGUUUGCUUCACAGAGCCCCAGGGGUUGACAAUAGGUGCCUUGGAGACUGCCUGCAUGGGGAUUUUUAAAAAGCUUUCUUUGUUAAAGGUUUGUAAACCACUCCUCUGAGCCUGUUUUCAUUUUAUAGAUUAUUCAGGGAACUGAACUGCACAGAGAUCCAGAAAGUGGGUAGUGCAGGCUGUAGUGCUGAUAACUACUGUACUACUUGGAUCUUUGUGCUCCCAAAUACCAAAUGGAAGAGGAUCUCUGAGAGUCCUUUGCAAAGAUCUUGUAGGGACUUUAGGCUGGGGCCUUCGGAAAAUUCCAGAGGAUUCCAAUGGAGAUUUUGAGGGACUGACUCAGAAGAACAAAGAGAAUGAUAAUGGUGAUGUCCCUGCUUUUUACAACAGAUCAUGUUCUGAUAUAUAUGCAAAUCUGUGUAAAGUAAACCCUACCUAAAAUGUACUGGGGACCCAAGAUGGACUGCCUGUAUUGCUUCCAGGAUAAAGUCCAAUUUCUAGCUCUGGUUUUUAUAACCUUGCUUCAGCUCACCUUUUCCGUCAUCAUCCCCUCCAUCUCCUCUCCCACGCUGGGAAAUGGAUGGCUGCACUAUACUGUGUGAUGUUAUUGCUAUGUUCAUGCCAUCCCCUCUGCCUGGAAUGCCCUUCUGCAUGAAUGCCUGUGAAAUGUUGUUGCUCCUUUGUAUGGCCUGGCUUCCGUGGUUGGCAGGAAUCUCUUCUUUCGUGGUAUUCCUGUCAUCUUUGUGCAUCACAGUCAGCUUUGUAUUCCUAGCUUGUAAGCUACUUGAGGAUAGGGGCAUGUCUGAAUCUAUUUAAUCUCUUGCACCUGUUUGGCAAAUUGAUGUUUUAAGUAUUUAAAUAACUAAAGCUCUCUCUACAGUACAUACUCACUUUUGAUUUAUGAAUUGGCAAAAUUCAACUUUUUUCCUUGAAUAUUCUUAAAGUGAGAUGAAUUCCAAAGGAGAGUGUUCUGUGUGUGGCCUUCAUUGAGUGGUUUUCUGUUACCAGAAAGCUCUUGGUGGCCUUCCUCUUCCCUGGUGUCAAGGUUGACUGUUAUAGGAAAUGGGAGGGGAGAGGGCCGUUUCUGCCACGCAUUGUCCUAGGUUCUUAACAUUAUUUAAUCCUUAUAAUGCAAUGUUAUCCUCAUUUUACAGAUGAAACCUGAGACCAAAGAACAUGUAACACAUAAAGUACAUUGCAGAGUUAGGAUGUGAACCCAACUCUGAUUCUAAACCUAAUGCUCUCACUCUUUCAUUCAGAGGUUCAGUCAGUUCUUUGUAGGCUGUAGAUCCAGAGAAGCUGCCGUAGCCAACAAUGAAGUUGUUAGUUUUUAAAACAUCUAUGUGGUAAGUUGGUCUGGCACUUAAAAAUGUAUUGUUUCCCAGGCACGGUGGUUCACACCUGUAAUCCCAGCAUUUUGGGAGGCCGAGGCAGGCGGAUCAUUAGGUCAAAAGAUUGAGACCAUCCUGACCAACAUGGUGAAACCCCGUCUCUACUAAAAGUACAAAAAUUAGCUGGGUGUGGUGGCGCAUGCCUCUAGUCCCAGCUACCUGGGAGGCUGAGGCAGGAGAAUUGCUUGAACCCAGGAGGCAGAGGUUGCAGUGAGCCAAGAUCAUGCUACUGCACUACAGCCUGGCAACAAAGCGAGACUCUGUCUAAAAUAUAUAUAUAUAUAUAUAUUGUUUACUACUCACCACAGAUCUGCAGGAGUUCACUGAUCUCUAGGAUCUGCCUUAACUCCAACUUACAUGUUUUGGUCACUAUUACAAACUGUCAUCCCAGAAUGAUGCUGCAGAGGCUAGGGCUAGGACACAGACCAGUGUUUCCAUGUGGGAAUUCCCUCCCAGUAUUUCUUAGGAAAUGUAUGUUUUUUGAAUCCAUAAUCCCUAGAAAAAUCAGUUGAGGAAAUGAGAAGUAUUGUAAUUAUUCUGUGAAUAGUAACACUUACCAUUAUGGAGACAUCACUAGUUUGAAAGAAUCCAACUUCAUCAAAUAUUAACGUACCGAGUUGAAGGCUACAAGAACUGAGACAGGAGCAUAGCAGAGAGAAACGGUCACCAUCUCAUUAGCCCUAUUUUUGGUUGUUGUGAUGCCAUUACAUCUGUAUAUCUGGCCAUAUCAGCUGCUAAUGGUGAGUUCUUGCAAACAAAAUGAUUUGAUAAACAACCUACCAUACUUUAUACAAAUCUUAUGGUGUUCCGAGAAAUAAACUUUGGAAGCAAAAUAAGUUAACAGUCUGGACACGAUUGAUUCUAUAUUCUGUUUACCUUGCUCUAGGCUAUUCAAAUGUUAUAUUUAUUUGAACACUAUCCAAUAUAUGUUCCCUGGCAUCUUCCUGUCUUUUAAAUAUUCUCUGUACGCUACAGUUCUUUGUAAGUAAAAAUAAGCUUAAUAUGUCUACUUAGCAAACAAAGUUUUUCCAGAUACCUAUAAUAAUGAGGAAAACAGUAUAAAGAAUGAAGUAUUUGAAGAAUAACUUAUAAUUUGGGGGAUUUCUGAGAAUUCUACUUCUUUGUCCCUAAUUUCCGAAGGUAAAUGUUUGUUGUGAAUUUGGAAACACUAGACUACAGAAAAGCAGGCACUCUCUAGCCUGGGAGGCCCACUGAUCUUAGGAGGGUCCAUAUAGCUGCUUAUUGCAGACCUUGCACUAGAACCCAGGUCUUUUGACACCUGGUGCCACUUUUCAUUCCAUUCCAUUAAUUAUAGCCCAGAGAAUAACCAC